ensembl:lncRNA
UGCAGAUCCCACAGGGAAAAGGAAACUGCUGUUCUAUUUCAAAAUCCCUGAUGGGUUUCCUUCCCGUUAGAAGGGUCUGAGGAAGCCGCACAGACCCCUGCUUGCUUCUGCCCCUCGCGUUGAAAUCAAACCUGUAAAUCUCCUCUGUUGCCGGCACGGAUCAAGCCAAAAUCACAGUAUAAAUGAUGAUGGUGGGAAAGGAGAUGCUCUCAGGAAGGAUGGGGUGGGGUGCUGAGUCGUCAACGACGCGUUGAUCGGGGAGAAGGAACUGAUCUGGGGCAAGUCAGUCCUGUGGAAAUCUCGCCUCAGCUCACUUCCUGCCAAGUCCCUGCUCUCGUCCUGCAGGGAGUGCGGGGGGCUCCACUCAACAUCAGACUUGCCCUCACCGUACUGAGCAGUUCCCAGGAAAACGGGAGUGUGUCUCUCUCACCGUGACGCCCUCUCUCGCCUCCUCAAUCCCCUCGUCUGGGCUCCCUGGACGGCUCUGCUUGGCACAGACCUUUGGUCUCAGAGUCCCGGAAGUCGGUGUGAAACAAGACGGAGAAAGACGCAGGGCCUGACCCUCUCCUCAGCCUGUUCCUCUGGAGCCGCCACGAGGUCCUGGACCAUUUGGGUGGGAGGGCUGCCCGGGCGCAGGCUCAGGGCAGGGUCCACGAGAGCCUGGGGGCGGCCAGGGCUUGGGCAGCCGUGGAGACUUGUCUGUGCAAAUGCCCUGCCGAGGGGCGAGCGGGAAGGCGUCCUGGGCAGGGCUGGAGGGUGGAAGCUGGGGAAAUGAGCUAAAGGUGUGGUGGAGACGGAGGCACGAGUGGGAGCAGGAGAGGGCACGGGGCUGCACGGGGCCAGGAGGCCCAGGGCAGAGCAGGACAGAGCGCGAGCGGACGGCCUACGUUCCCCACACUGGUGCCGGCACAGCCUCCCAGGCAGGUCUCAGACCCUGUGUGCAGCUCUCCGUCUUCUUCAGUGAUGUCCAGUCUGGGCAGGUCAGACUCACCGGAAACAGGCUUCUCCCCUCCUCGGGAGGAAGGGCGCCCCGGCUCACUCUCCUGGAGGUUCUGUCGCUUACACUCUGUGCACACCCGUCUGCCGCAGCUCCUCCUUCUCAAGCCUUCCCAGCAAGUGCACACGCAUUCUCACCACCCCCGUGACACAGAGGAGGGGAGAACGCCGUCGCCCUCUACCAGAUGGAGAGAGCCCUGCUCGAGGUGGUGAACGGCUCAGACCGAGGCGGGUGCAUCCAGCCCAGAGGCCCCCCACUGGUGAGGACCGGGGAGCGUCAGGCCGCCCCCACGGUGCCCACACUUGCACCGAAGCGUCUUUGCUGAGUCGGAAGGCACCUCAGGCCUCCCCAGCCCUGGAGCUGCCCUCCAGAGCCCGUCCCCAGGGAGCAGGGACGUGGGGGGAUCCGCCUUCCUGGGACGGCCCCAAGCCCAGCCGCUGCCGCGUGUUGGGAAGUUCCAGAAGCAUCCGUCCUGCUUGGAUCCUCCAGGAUUCAUUCUCCCUUGUGGCGUCUGACUCCCCCUCAUGUGGCCCAUCUCCUCUUCUAGCCUCGAAGCCCCUGUCAGGGACGUCCCCAGGCUCACUCCCUUGGGUAUUAACCCUGUGUCUUUGCCGUGUUUGGCGACUGCUGGGCUCAGCUGUGUGUGUCCCGGAGGGCACAGCACGUCUGCCUCACACUCACAACCGCCUGAGUCUGACCCGCAGCCUGGACCCCAGCGGGCCUGCGAGGCUGGGGGCCACCCCGCCCCAGAGCCCACACCAGAGGCGGGUCAGGCCUGGGCCAGAGGUGACACGACCCUCCUGGGGUCUGUGGCAGGUGUAUGUGACCACAUCUGCCUGUACCUACGCUGUGCACGUGUGCGAGAAGGGAGAUGGGCGUGUACAGAAAUUGUCAGCUUCUGUGAGCUGGCAGGCAGCUCUUCCAGAGUCCCUCCCGCCACGGCCAUCCCUUGACCUCUGGUUGGGCAGCGUGCUUGCCCUGGACGUCACGUCAUCCAAGGGUCAAUGUGUGUAAGCCUGCUCCCCGCUGGAACGUGAGCUGCAGAAAGGCCACCGCUGACAAUCUGCUGCUAGAAAAAGCACGGGGAGCGUGGCUGGUGCUCGGUAAACACGUGCCGGGCGGGCGAGUGGAAUGAAUGAACAAAUGAUCAUCACUUUUCAGUCACAACCGAGUUCUUGUCCGGGAGCAGCCCCGCCCAGCCCCGUCCUGCAGACUCAGGGUGUCCACUCUCUCCCCGUAACGUGGGGCCAAGUCAGGGUCUCAGUGGGGACCCUGCGGUGCCCACCAAACUCAGCACCCUGGUGAAGGCCCGUCCACCUGGCAUGGACGUUGUUCCCACGGCCCUUUCUCUCGCACAACCAUCGUUUUAAGCUCGGAGGCAGCAGCUCCGUGAGGGGCCUCCAGGCGAACACCCUCCAGAAAAGUCAGGCUCUUCUCUGACCAGGAAAACACGCUCCAUUUCCUCCCCCCUAAGAAUUCUGGGUUUAGUAGAAUGUUUGUAGUUUUUAAUUGGCCUCCAAUUUUAAGCAACGACUCUGCCCUUAAAACAGCUGUAUUUUAUGUCAUUUGUUACAGGACGCAUGUCGGUGGAAUGGCGCCCACCGCAGGGGUGAAACCUCUGCUCGGCUCAUCAGAACCGUGGUGUCCAUAAAUGGUUUAUCCACACGUGUCCUUUUCAGAGGGAACAGCCUGUUAACAUCACGCAGUCGAACCGUGUGAACGUGAGGGGCCUCAGCUGUCGGCAGAGGACGGCAGAGGCUCUGCAGGUGCUCUGGGCGUGGGAAUGGCCUCGCCCUUCCCUGAGCAGGUCUGGCUGGAAUCCCACCACAUGUGCGCAGCUGGCCCGUGGCUCCAGGCCUCAGGACCUGCAAGCAGGAGGCUGUAAUAGAAGAAAGAGAUGCCUGUUGUAGGUCUUUCUGGUUGUGCAUGUGGGACGGUGCCUCGGCGUCACCUGGCAAGUGGUGCCAUGUCCGCACCAGGGAUCUGAACCGGUGAAACCCUGGGCCGCCGAAGCGGAGCGCUUGAACUUAACCACACAGCCAUGGAUUUUCUGUUUAGUUAAUCACGUCCCCUGCAAAUACGGACAGUGUCACUUCCUCCUUCCCGACAGUUCUACUUCUAUUCUUUUCCCGGUUUCUUUGCACUGGCUAGAACCUCCAGUCCAAUGUCGAAUAGAAGAGGUGAAAACUGAACCAGAAAUCCUUCCUUUUCUCCCCAUUUUAGGGGGAAGUUAUUCAGGCAUUCACCGCUAGUUAUAACAUAGGAAAAAAAGCCUCUUUUA